ensembl:snRNA U4 U4 spliceosomal RNA
AGAUUUGCCCAGUGGCAGUAUUGUAGCCAAUGAGGUUUAUCCGAGGCGCGAUUAUUGCUAAUUGAAAACUUAAAAAAUUAACCAAGUAUGAUGGUGCAUACCUGUAGUCCCUAGCUGGGG